GGCUGGUCCGGAUGCGGUGAUAAUUACCAUCAAUUGAUCACAACCAGUUACAGAUUGUCUUGUUCCUUUGCCAUCUCAUUGCUUCACUUAAGUGGCCUAAU
rnacentral:Y_RNA from 1 species